CACAUGAGGGAAUCAUCCAGGCUUUGUCCUGUUAUGUUUGUUGUAUUUCACUUAACACCGUGUCCCAAGGUUCCUGUGCGAUAUUCUCAUAAUGAGACUGACAGCCCUCCGGAGAGGUGGAGAGUCCAUGCUCCUCCCCCUGAGUCUGUUUGGCUGUGUGACACAAAGUAAGUGAUGUUAAGCCACCUCCCAAGCUGGAUCAGGAGAAGCGAUGUCAUUUCCUUCUGGUUCUCUUGGAAUGCUCACUUUUGGAAUCCAGCCACCAAACUUGGGACAUCCUGGCAGCUCAUGGAAGGGACCGCGGAGAGAGGAGACGAAGCUCCACACUCACACCCACGCUACAGCUGAGCUCCGUAUGACAGCAGUGCCAACCUGCCAAUAAUGAGACAGAGCCAUCUUGAAAGUGCCAAGGCAGUGACACAAGGAUCCCACCAGGAAGGGAAACGCAGCACAAAGAAAUAUCUGACAAGUGAUCGUCAGGAAUGUGGAGAGAUCUUGGUGUCCAUGGAAACGAGGCAGAGAAUGUGCAAGGAGACAAGAUCGGAGUCUGGGAAGUACGGCGAAUCCCACAAAGAUGGACGCUCAGCGCCUCUCUGCCCUGGACACAGUGCCCACUCAGCGCAGGCAGCGCCCUAACUGGACUAUCCACGCACCACACUAACAGUUGGCUGCCACCAUUUACACCCGUACCUGCUUCCAGCCCACCCCCAUUGCUGGUUUCCAUUUCACUUGACCCAGUAGGAAAGUUGGCCUGACAGGGAUUUGAAAUUAAAAAGGCCUCCUCUGGGUCAGGGGUACUAACUAGAGGUCACUUGUUGAUGAGCUCAGCUCUGAGGUUACCUUAGUUACCUACCUUGGGGCAGCUUAGUGAAUGUUACAGAACCCGUGUUCCACAAUUCUUCAGCUCCUUGCUUGGAGCUUAUUAAUUUUUAUUUUAAACAUAGUCACAGCACCUUGUUAUUUGAUUUUUCUAGGCUUACAAAAGGACAGAUUAGAAGAGAAUGGGUGAAAUUCUCCCCGAGGAUGCACAUGCAUCUGGCUCUGUGAAGUCUGAAAAUGACUCUGAAUACAUCUAGGUUUGAGGGUGUGUCUGCACACGUGUGGGAGCCAGUGUGUAUACCAACGUGUUGGUUGGGAUGAAUGUGUCCGAGAGCCUGCGUACAGCCUGUGUGCCUGCUGGUUUGUGUGCACACUGGCUGCAUGGUAUGUGAGGACAUUUGUGAAUGAGUUUGUCAUCUUGUGUUUUUAAUGCAUAUGUGUGCAAUCAGAUGUAAAACAUGUAAAUGAGAAUUUACACUUUUGCGACUCUGGGGGAGAUAAUGACAGGCUGCUUAUAAGUUUAUUUCUUGGAGCAAAAGUGUAAAUUUGCGUGUAGAUUUAUAUAGGGAAAGCUCUAGGCAAAGUUUUCAAGUCAUAUGGUGGGACCAUAUGGAAUUGCCAUUUUGUGGGUUAAAAAUGGUUAACUGCUCAGGGAUUUUUGCAUGAUUCAGCCUCAUCUGUGUGCACAUGUACAUGUGUGGAUCACAUACAUAACUUCAGGUUGGCAUAGCCUCUUUACCACCUUUGUUUUAUUAUCAGAACUAAGAAGGAGACAACUGCUAUGGGUGUGAGACCCCGGGGACAAUUUAAUGUGGACCUUGAAGGAAAGGAGCCCCAGAGGAAUGCGGGCAGAGCCCCUGGUUAUCACUGAGAUGAAUGUGCUUCUGUGAAGACCUUCCAACCUGACCAAGAAGACUUCCACUGAAGUGUGCGGCAGAUGAGGCACAGAGCCAAGAUCCGGCUGCAAAAUUAAAUACCUCUGAAAAGGCACUAGCAUCAGAAUUUCAUUUGGGAGAGAACAGAUUGCUAGCUCUGAUUAUUCCAGAAAGAGAACCAAAUUAAUAAGCAUACUAAAUUGAGGAAGUCAAAAAUUCUCCCUGUGCAGUUGCAAGCCAGACACUAGUUUUUAACCUUCCUUUCGUUGGAAGGGAAAGGAGUUUUGUUACUUCUGCCCAGUUCCUUGUGGAGACCCUGUCAAGCAGGCAGUGAACUGCGGCUUCCCGCUAAUGGUUACCGGAAACCAGAGAAGUUUAUAUAAGGAGCAAGCCAGGUCAUGAGAAAAAAGUACUGAAAUCACGGUCAACACAGGGCAACAGUAUCGGGAUGGAAGCCUUGCGACAUGCCACUAACCAAGUGACAACCCCAGAGGUCUCCUUGAGAAGGGAUUCAUGGGCUUCAAAAUAGAAAACCUGUUAGUUUGAUGUGAUCAUGUAGCAAAAGAAUGGAUAAUUUGGAGUAUUCAGUGCAAAAUUUAUAACCAUAUAUUCAAAAAUUAACCAUAUUUGGUUAUUAACCAUAACCAAAAUUCAUAACCAUAGCCAAAAUUCAUAACCAAGGAACAUGUAAUGAUGUGUUCUUGCUGCAGGGGAACAGGUUUAGGUGAUCAGGGGCACUUGAAUCAAGAUAAUUAAUCGAGAAUGACUUUAUACUAAGAAACACUUAACAAAGACAUUAUCACAACCUCAAGGGCCCUGCUGAAUUCUCAUUAUUGGUAAAUUAUUCAGAGUUAAAGAAGAGAAAAAGAAACUGAAAUAGCCCUUAGAAAAAGAACAGAUGGAGGGCUUGAGGCUGGGGACAGCGAAGGAAGCAGUGUAGACCGGCCUCUGCCCUGCAAGCCAGACCUCUGACCCUCAGUCUCAGUGCCAGGGGUCAGUUUUCUCCAGCCCAGUCAGGAAGCUCUGGAGAACCAACUGGGCUCAGUCUGGAGACACACAGCCUGGUAGAUUUUCUGUGCCACAUGCAGUAUCACUAUGGAUGCUUGGCCACUCAUCCCUUGGCGUUUUUCAGAUCCCAAUUUGACCAUGUUUGGAGCUCGGGAAAAUAGCAGAUGGUUUUAUGUUUGCUUUUGGUAUGGCAAAGAGGACCACAUAGCAAGAGGCUAUGGUCUUAAGGAUUUUGGCCUAGUGAAUGUAUCCUUUCUUGCCUGUGACAAUGUAACUUCUCCAAAAGAAUUUCCCCAUUCCUCAACCGUAAGGACUUUAAGGAUAAAGUAUGAAUAACUAAGAAUCUGGCAGCAGCUCUAGAGGCCUCUGAAAAGACUUGAACUCCCCAAUGGGGACUAUAAGAGAACAGUAAAUGGCCUAAAUUGGGAUGUGUCACUCUGUGUGAAGAGCCACAAAUGUUUGACAAAAGAGAAAGGAAAAGUUGAGAGUAAUGAGGAAACAUGGAGAUCAAGACAAAUGAGGGGAAGGAAUUUUUUAUGAAGUUGCUGUGAGUUAUGCAUAGGUCUGUUAUGGUUAUUACUUGAAAUGUCUCCCCAAAAGGCCCAUUGUGUCGGAGGCUCGGUUGCUGAUGGGCUUUGGGGAAGUGAUUGCAUCAUGGGACUGACUGCAUCACUAGUCUAGUGAUGAGAUCAUAAUUUAUGGCACCACUGGGAGGCGAUGGGAACAGGAAUUGGAUACUAGUUCUAGUCCUGGGUCCCUACCUCUUGGGCUCUCUCACCCUCUCUGCUUCCUGGUUGCCAUGUGUUGAGCAGCUUGCUCUUCCAAGCCCUUCGGCCGUGAUGCUCUGCCUCCCCUCGGGCCCCAUAAUGGAUGCAGCCAACCAUGGACUGAAACUGCUGCAACCAUGAAAAAAAUUAGAUUUUUCCCUCUUUAAAUGGUUUAUGUGAGAUAUUUUGCCACAGUGAUCAAAAGCUGACUAGCACAAGAUCUUUAUUAACAGUCUUUAAAGGAUACAAGUAGAAAAAAUAAAAGAUACAAGUAGAAUUGGAGUUCAAAUCCUUUUUUGUUUCGGGACUUUAUUUAUUUGACUGGGACACCAUCAGAGACUGGAGACUACAGGAACCCUGGCUUCCCUUUGGGAUACACCAGGCUCCACUCUUUCUGGAAGCAGUGGGGAUUAAAAUGAAGAGAUAAUAUUUUAUGCUUCGUAAAUAUUUGUUGUUGAAUAAAUAAAUACAUAAAUUAAAAAUUAUGUGGAGCCAAGAGAUGCAGUAUAGGAGGAACAAGCAGUAAAUGGAAGAGGAGAUGAGGUUAUUAUACAGUAGCAAAGCACUAAAUGGGUAAGUGGGGUCACAGAGUAGAAGAGGGUGGAAAUCAGGAAUAGCAGCAGUUGUGUGGAGCAUGAAAGUGGAUGUGGCUUUACACACAGAGCAGAGAGACAGGCACCAAAAGCAUAGCUCCUUUUGGCCAAACAGAACCUUCAAUGCAUUCAUUCAUUGAUUCAUUGAUUUAGCAAACACUUGUGGAAAAAUUACUUACUUGACAAGUAUUGUAUUAGGGGCUAGAGACUAAUUAUAGCUAAA